AUUUAAUUACCAAGGAGAUUCAAAUCUGUAACGACCCAAAUCUCGGUCUGGGAAAAUUUAGCCCAAUAAGACUCAAUUACAUUGCAGAGAACCCUAUAGUUUUUUUAUUUAAGAUGGAUUUCGUGGUGGCCUAUGACAGAGACUUUUGGGGAUGGCAAAGUCCUGCCGGAACGUCACCGGAACAGCCACAAAUAGCCACCAUGAAAGAGAAGCCAUCCCACCAUCCGAAAAGAGAGAUUAGAGCUCAGCAGACACGUUUUGGGGAACAGAAGAACGAUCGAUCAAAUAUGAGUAUUUCGAAGCUAAAUUUUGAGAUUAUGUUCUACACUCAUAGAUCUAUGUGUAUCAGAAAGCAGAUCGUCAUUUGGAAUUUUUAUCUAAGAGUUAUGGUUGUUUCUUUGGAACUGAUAUCUACAGAUCGGAUCCGCGAACAGUCAACUUCAUCAGCGUUUUACCGUUGAUACAGAAGGAACCAGGAAACGUGCGAGAUAUCAUUGGAAAGAUCUCGAUGCCAGCUUUUCAGAUCAUCUAUCCGAUUGUCAAAUCGACGUAUGGUUAGAAAGUUAUUGACGUUUCUUCUUGGUGAAGAAUAAAGCUGUUGAAUUGCAGAGACAGUUCCGACCAGUCUCGGUGUAAGUGAGAAACGGUCGACAGAAACAAAAUAUUUCAGUCUAGAAAUUUGUCAGUAAGUAGAUAAUUCUCUUAUCUAUCAUCUCUUGCAAGCGGAUCGUUAUUCCGAGUUAUUUUCUGAGAGUUAUGCUUGUUUUCGUGUGAGGUGUUGGUGCAUUUUGAGUUUACGACCAUCCAGGAGAUGAAGUUACUUUGGUUAAGCAAAUGGUGUCCGAUCGGAGUAAACUAGGUGUAUAUGGAUAGAUGACACAUAGGACUACAUUAUGACCGGAGGGAUCGAAAAGUUAACGGUCAUUUCUUGAGUUAUUCAUCUGUUUACUGUAUGGUUCAGUUCUGCCAGAAUAUCAUAUUGAUCUAAUUUCAGAGAGUUCCGGAGUUGCUUUGUUAGAGCCGUAAAGGUCCAUUCGGCGUUUCCUCAGGUUUCUUCAGAACCCGUGGCAAAGGUGAAACUGACGAGUAUAUGAUAUUUGGACGGAUUGGUGCUACUGGGCUUUUUAUUCGGAUUUUAUUUGGGCUUAGGGUGAGUGGAGUCGUGUAUAUGGGCUAUUGUGUUAUGAGAUAUUGUUGGUGGCAUGCUGUUCUCCCGAUAGGAGGUGACGGGUGUCACAAAUUUGGUAUCAGAGUGGGGUUCCGCCCCGGCCUCGACCCGGGAUGGCGAUUAGGGGAUUCGGUUUUCUACGUUUUUAAAAAAUAUAUAUAAAUUAUUUAUAUAAAUAUAUAUAUAUAAUAAAAAAAAUGUUUGCGAAGUUCUUUUAGCACCAUUAUGUCCAGUAAUUACUAACUCAAUUGUCUCUUUCUAUGACGAUGAGUAAAAUCAUCGCCAUUCAUCCUUCGACUAACAAGGUUCUAGCCAGAUGUUCAGUAGCAGAUGUGUGAUGCCUCAGUUUGUCAGUUUUCUCAGGAGUUAUCAGUUUCUUCGGUCAUGAUUCCGAGAUUAUCUAGGAGUGGAUAUGUGACGUUUUUGCUUCCACCCUACUUCAAGCAAUCGUUCCACGAGGUUUUGUUACGGGAGAUUACGUGAUAUGAGGUGUGAGCCAUUGGUUGGCAUGUGUUGUUUUUGUGUACGAGUAUGUUGACUAUUUUGGAGGUAUAUUUGGUUUGUGAACUCGUGGAGAUCGCUUUUGAAUUGGGGUGCAGCAGCUUGCGUUGUAUUGAUAUUGGAGUGACACUUGGUUUUGUUUACUAGCUUUUGGCAUUGUUGAUCGUUUCAGAGAUGUGUCAGUUAAAACAGCUGGCAUGGGAUGUGAGACCUAUUUAUAUUCAUCGCAGUGUACAGUUAUGCUCGGAGGACUGAUUUGUUUGGGGAAUCGUCAGAGAUGGAACUACGUUUUUACGAUGUCAUCCUUGGAAUGGAUUGGCUGUCACGACAUCGAGUAGUGUUGGAUUGCCUGAGGGAAAGAGUUGAUAUUGCUGGAGCUGAUGGGAGUUUUUAUUGCAUGCAUGCUACAUGCUCAAGGGUUAUUGGAUAUAAGAGCAGAGAGAUUUUUGGCGACCAUAUUGAUGCUUAGGAAUGUUGGACAGUAUGAGUUGUAGGAUCUUCUGGUUAUUGCAGAUUAUAAGGAUGUAUUUGUGGCCUUUGGAACGGCCACAACCAGACACGUGAGACGUUUUUACAAUUGAGUUGGAACCAAGGACAACACUUGUUUCACGAGUUCUACACCAAUUAGCGGCAGCUGAGAUGAUCAAGCUGAAAGAGCAUAUGGAAGAUUCAUCAGACAUGGGUUUUAUCAGACCGAGUACUUCACCGUGGGAAACAUCAUUAUUUUUGUAAAGAAGAAAGAUGGAAGUUUCAGUCUUCGUAUCGACUACAUUGACUUGAACAUGGUAUCCUCAUAUUGAUGAGUUGUUGUAUUAGCUACAGGAGGUUCAUGGUUCUUGAAGAUCGACUUGGCAUCACGACACCACCAGAUUGCGAUAGAUGAAGAGGAUGUGCGGAAGACAGCCUUCCGUAUUAUGGACAUUAUGAGUUUGUGAUUAUGUCAUUUGGGUUGACGAACACACCCGUAGCAUUUAGGAAACUAAUGAAUGAUGUUUUUGUGAACACUUGGACAAGUGCGAUUGUACUCAUCGACGACCCCAUUGAGUUAUUCUUGGAGUAGAGGGAGCAUGAUGAGUGUUUGCGCAUUUUGUAUUGAUGCAUGAGGAUCAGGUCAUUCUAUAUACAUUGCAUCAGUUGAGACCUCACGAGACCCACUACCCUAUUCAUGAUUCGUAGUGGCUGCAGUGGUAUUUGCGUUAUAGUUUUGGAGAUUGUAAUUGUACAAGAAGGAAGUUCAGAUUCUCUGGGAUCAUUGGAGGCUGAAAUCUAUCUUCAUUCAUUAAAACAUGUACUUAGACAGUGCAGUUGGAUUGAGUUGGUAGCAGGCUACAGUUUGGACAUUGCAUACCAUCUGGUAAAGACAACCAGGUGACAAAUGCCUUGGAUAGGCACAUGAACGACGUAUCAGGAACCAAAGAGGUUCAUGAGUUUACUGGGAUAUUGGCUAGUCUCAGAUUGUGUGCCAUUACUGUCGAUGGAGAGACAGAUGGCCUUGGGACUUUGGAGCAGGCAGUUUUGCUAUGGAGGAUACCCCAAACACAUGUUAGCGUUAUGGCUUUGUAAGACGAUCGAUAUUGGGAGUAUUGUUAUCAUAAGUGUUGAGCGGGAUGUACCUGUACUGAAAUCGAGUUGUGUGUUGGACGAUAAGCUGUUAAGAAAAAGAAUCUUACAGCAAAUGCAUCACUCGUGUUUCUCUACCCAUCGGGAACACCAAGGCGUACAAAGAUAUGAAGUGUUAACUGUAAUUGGUCUAGUAUGAAGAGAGUUGUAGCUUCAUUGUGUCACAGUGUCAGACAUGUCAGAUGGCUAUGACAAAGGAUCAGUUAUCUAUCAUGUUAUUUUUGAACUUGCUUUUGCCAGAGUGGAAAUGAGGCAUGGUGAUUAUGGACAUUGUUAUUUGAUUUUAAAUCACCAUAUGUGGAAAGGAUGCCACAUGGGUAGUCAUGGAUAGACUUACCAAGUCAGCCUAUUUCCUAAGUAAUUAAAAAGACAGUCUGAGUUAAUCAGUUGGAGCAGACCUACAUUAUUGAGUUGUGAGGUUUCAUGGAUGUCAACAUUGUAUCGGAUUGGGAUUCGAAGUUCACGUCUACAUUUUUGGAGUCAUUCAGAAGGAACUUGGGACAAAGAUCCACAUGAAUACAACUUAUUAUCAGCAUACAGAUGGUUAGUCAAAGAGGACUAUUCAGACUUAGAGGACAUGCUCAGGGAUUGCGUCAUACAGUGGGAUGGAAGAUCAGAAAGCAUUAUAUCUAGCAGAGUUUCCCUACAUCGACAAUUAUCGUUCGAGCAUUGAGAUGACACCGUAUAAGCCUAUUUAUGGUAAGCCUUGUCGUAUACCACUUUGUUGGACCAAAGUGAGGGAGUGACAUGAGUUAGAACUAUUAAUGCUUCAUGAGAUGGUAUAGCAAAUGGACAUGCUCAAGGAUUGGCUUUGGGACGCCCAUGACGGCAGAGGAUUUAUGCAGCUAAGCGUCGUAAGGAUUUGGAGUUACAUAUGGGCAAUCUAGUAUACCUAAAAAUAAUGACAUUUCAGGGAGGACUUAAGACUCAUAAGCUGAAGCAACUAAAACCGAGAUACAUUGGACUGUAUCCUCCGGUGGAGUGAAUUGGAGCAGUUGAUUGCAGUUAUUUUAUCAGCAGUGUAUCAGACUUCCAUGACGUGAUCCAAGUGAGAUCAAAUUCAGAUGAGAAUUGACUAUCCGAAGGUUUUUUUUUAGGACGGUAUUGGACAGCCGACUCAGGAUUUGAAUUCGAGGACGAAUUCCUCGUAAGUGGGGAAGAAUUGUAACGACCCAAAUCUCGGCCCGGGAAAUUUAGCCCAAUAAGACCCAAUUACAUUGCAGAAAACCCUAAAGUUUUCAUAUUUAAGAUGGAUUUCGUGGUGGCCUAUGACAGAGACUUUUGGGGAUGUCAAAGUCCUUCCGGAACGUCACCGGAACAACCACAAAUAGCCACCAUGAAAGAGAAGCCAUCCCACCAUCCGAAAAGAGAGAUUAGAGCUCAGCAGACACGUUUUGGGGGAACAGAAGAACGAACAAUCAACUAUGAGUAUUUCGAAGCUAAAUUUUGAGGUUAUGUUCUAAACUUAUAGAUCUAUAUGUAUCAGAAAGCAGAUCAUCAUUUGGAAUUUUUAUCUAAGAAUUAUGGUUGUUUCUUUGGGACUGAUAUCUACAGAUCGGAUCCGCGAACAGUCAACUUCAUCAGCGUUUUACCGUUGAUAAAGAAGGAACCGGGAAACGGGCGAGAUAUCAUUGGAAAGAUCUAGAUACCAGCUUUUCAGAUCAUCUAUCCGAUCGUCAAAUCGACGUAUGGUUAGAAAGUUAUUGACGUUUCUUCUUGGUGAAGAAUAAAGCUGUUGAAUUGCAGAGACAGUUCUGACCAGUCUCGGUGUAAGUGAGAAACAGUCGACAGAAAAAAAAUCUUUCAGUCUAGAAAUUUGUCAGUAAGUAGUUAAUUCUCUUAUCUAUCAUCUCUUGCAAGCGGAUCGUUAUUCCGAGUUAUUUUCUGAGAGUUAUGCUUGUUUUCGUUAGAGGUGUUGGUGCAUUUUGCGUUUACGACCAUCCAGGAGAUGAAGUUACUUUGGUUAAGAAAAUGGUGUCCGAUCGGAGCAAACUUGGUGUAUAUGGAUAGAGGACACAUAGGAAUACAUUAUGACCGGAGGGAUCGAAAAGUUAACGGUCAUUUCUUGAGUUAUUCAUCUGUUUUCUGUAUGGUUCAGUUCUGCCAGAAUAUCAUAUUGAUCUAAUUUCAGAGAGUUCCGGAAUUGCUUUGUUAGAGCCGUAAAGGUCCAUUCGGUGUUUCCUCAGGUUUCUUCAGAACCCGUGGGAAAGGUGAGGGUCUUUUCCCGAACUUCUCUUACACGGCUUAGGACCUCGAAUAAGUAUAAUUUGUUUCUAAUGUGUUCCGUCUGUGUGUAAUCGAGUCUGUCAUUGCUUGUUUAGUUUUAGGCUCUUUGCUUAAACCAGAACUAGGGUGUUAGAUGGUUCAACAGUGCUUGUUCAUUUAUAAUUGAUAAUAUAUAUGUAUAAAGUAUAUUGAGGUGAUUUGGGUGUUAGCCGACCAUGGAGACGUAAUUCUGUGUGUCGGCCGGGGACCAGUACAUUGGGUGUGGUGUAUGCUGCGGCACAGCUUAGUCGACCUGUUGUGCCAAGGCUUCGAGGUCGAUAAAUCGUCUACGGGCAUGUGUUACCGAGCACAUAUUCGGUGGUGUUUUGGCCUGUUAGUGGGCAGCGAGUGUGCACCUCGCUAGGACUGUUGUGUGAUCUUUGGGUACUUUAGGUACUGUGUUUGCAACGUGUUAGAAUUAAAUUAUAUUUAUUCGGAGUGCUCUGUCCGGGUCCAUGGACUUCGGGUUUAGUAUCCCAAACCUCAUUGGGUGACUUCCCCGUUACUCACCCCUCAUUUGCCCCCUUUCAGGUGGGACUGACGAGUAUAUGAUAUUUGGACGGAUUGGUGCUACUGGGCUUUUUAUUCAAAUUUUAUUUGGGUUUAGGGUGAGUGGAGUCGUGUAUAUGGACUAUUGUGUUAUGAGAUAUUGUUGGUGGCAUGCUGUUCUCCAGAUAGGAGGUGACGGGUGUCACAAAAUCAUUCCGAAGGCCAAGCUGUAUGGAAUGGAUCAGGAUGCAAGAAACACCAACAGGAUCACAUCAACUCAAACAACCACCGGAGACACGUACCUGCAUUCAUGGUUUCAAAACUUUGCGACAUAAAUUCCCAAGUUCAAGCCAAAUUCCAGAAAUUGUUGUUGCACAUGUGUUUUAUCUUCUACUUUUUACCUUGCCUGUGUCAGCCUAUUUCUUUCUGUAUCUCGGAAGUAAAGAUAAAAAGGAAGUUAGUAAAAAAAGAUAAUUUCUCUUGUUGACAAGAGUCACAAGAUCAUUGACUGACUGUAUACAUAUAUAAUAUAAGUUUACAUCAUUAUAAAAUUAACUUUCCAUUUUAAAAGUAUGAUAAUUUAUUUUAUUAUUUAUAAACGCAACCAGCAAAACUAACAUAGAUUUUUGUUUAAGAUGACCUAUAAUUAUUUUAUAUAAUUUUAUUCUUGCUCAUUGCAUUGUUGUCUACUACUGGUCUCUAAUGUAAGAUAAAUAGUAAUUACUGAAACGAAUUUAACAGAUUGCAGGUGUAAAUAAAAAUGACAAGGAACAAAUAUAACUUACAGAUAUUCUCAGUUCUAUUUAUUCGUUUAUAAUAUAUUAUUUUCCUUUACUAAUCUAUAUUAAUACAUUGAAAAUAGAAGAGGUAAUUCAAGUUGGUCUACUUGUUGUGUCGGCCCUCUUUUCUCUCUACCUUAUCCCCAAGCCGUCGAAGAUUUCUCGAGUCUGUUCAGCUCCGGCCACCGGCGGUGGCGCGCGUGGUCGCCGGAGGCAGCUUCCUCUCCUCUUCCUUUUUGUAAUUUGCUCUGGUUUGCCCUCUUUCUUUGUCAUUGUCGUUUUGCUCGGUUCUGUGGGCGGUGCUCCGGUUCGGUUUCUCUAGAUUUGCUCCGGGGAAGUUUAGAUCUGUGGCUUGGGGCUUCUGUUCUGGAGUUUCGGCACGGCGGUGAGGGUUCUUGGGCUGCCGGAGUCGGCUUUUAGGGUGAACGUUUCGGUGGAUCUAUGUUUUCUCUUUCUCGGUCCUUUCGAAGCUUUCCGUGUUGUUGGCAGGUGGGUUCGUCGGCAUCUCUCUCCUCCAGUUCGGUAAGUGCUUUUUGCGAAGUAGUCUUCGUCGUGGAGAGAGGAGUCCUGGCUUUCUUCCUUUCCCUUGCUUGGCGUCUCGCAUCGGAAGGGGGUUCGCUCUUGGCUCAAGGGAGGUGAUAGAUUUCUUCUAUCGCUUCGUGCACGGAGGUCCGAUGGCUGUGUGGUUGUCGAGCUUCUGUGACUCCAUGUCUGCAACUUCUUCCCGGAUGGUUGGUUUGUCGUCUAUGGCUUUUUCAAACUUCCGCUUUGGUGGUUGCUCUCUCUUUGUUGUUUUGUCCCAUCUCUUGUGUCCAGCCAUCUCUGCCUCUUCUGAGGUCUCGAGCUCUCAGUCCUUCUUCGUGGGCCAUUCUUCAUUGUCGAGUUCUCCGGCUUUUCCCGUCGAAGCGCAAUGGAGACCGGAGUCAGGUUCUCUGCCUUCGGGGCAAGACGUCGAUUUGAAGUGUCAGUGUGUCAUCUGUCUCUCCUUCGGCGAUGGAGACUUGUUUCGACUCUGUUCAUCCAUGUGCCUGAGUUGCCGAUGGUGUGAUCAGGUAGAACUUUGUUGUUCUCUAUUGCAGGUUCUGGUGUUCGUUAUGGUUGGUGCCUCUUCGCUGCCUGUUUUGUUCGAAUAAGGUGUUCAGGUCUUCAGGUGGUACGGGUCCUCGACUUGUGCUUUCCUUGGAGGCUUGUUCUGUUUGCUCGUCUUUGGCUUUGCUGGUGCUUGGCCGAAGGUUUUUGCUGUCUGACCGUCUUGGUUGUAGUUUAGAAGGACGUCUGCGAGCUGUUUUUGGGGGAGUCUUAUCAUAAAGAGCGGAUCAUCGGGCAAGCCAAUUUCUACCGGGUUCCGACUCUCGGUUUUACUGUGGCUUCUCCUUCUGCGGCAAGUGGGUUGUGCCGGCCCGAAUCAGUCUAAGUCGAGUCUCUGUUUAGUUGUACCUUUGUUUCUUUUGUAUUUCUGUCAAAAAAUUGAAAAAUUGGUAAUAAUAUCUUAACAUUUUUACAAAAAAAAAAAAUAGAAGAGGUAUUGUAUCUUUAA